rfam:Danio rerio chromosome 4, GRCz11 reference primary assembly.
GUCUCUGUGGCAUAAUAGGUUAGCGCCUUCAGCUGUUAACUGAAAGAUUGGUGGUUCAAGCUCACCCAAGGACA